ncrna:unclassified sequences RAGATH-18 RNA
CCUAUGGAGAGUAUACAACAAUGUGAGUACUGUUUGGAGACAUCCAUCAUGAAAGCAUACUCGAUGAAGUAGGAA